GGCCCCGAGGUGUAACACGCAUGGUUGCAAACCAUGAGAAGUAGAUUACCGUCUACCGGGUCUU
rnacentral:tRNA from 1 species